rnacentral:rRNA from 1 species
AGAGUUUGAUCCUGGCUCAGGACAAACGCUAGCGACGUGCCUAAGAAAUGCAAGUUGAGCGAGAUGAGGGGCUUCGGCUCCAAAGUCUAGCAGCGAACGGUCGCGUAACACGUAAGCAUCCUGCCCCAAAGUUUGGGAUAGCCCUCCGAAAGGGGGAUUAAUACCGGAUGUGGAUACUUCUUCGCCUGUUGAGGUAUCUAAAGCAGCAAUGCGCUUUGGGAUGGGCUUGUGGCCUAUCAGCUAGUUGGUGUGGGUAACGGCUCACCAAGGCGACGACGGGUAGCUGGUCUGAGAGGAUGGUCAGCCGGACUGGGACUGAGACACGGCCCAGACUCCUACGGGGGGCAGCAAUUAGGAAUCUUGCGCAAUGGGCGAAAGCCUGACGCAGCGACGUCGCGUGACUGAUGAAGUCUUUCGGGAUGUAAAGGUCUUUUUUGGGGGAAGAAGGAUGUGACGGUACCCCAAGAAUAAGCCCCGGCUAACUACGUGCCAGCAGCCGCGGUAAUACGUAGGGGGCGAGCGUUGUCCGAAUUCACUGGGCGUAAAGCGCGCGUAGGCGGGUUUUUAAGUUGUGGGUGAAAUCCCGAGGCUCAACCUCGGAACUGCCUGCAAAACUGGGGACCUUGAGGUAUGGAGAGGGAAGUGGAAUUCCAGGUGUAGCGGUGAUAUGCGUAGAUAUCUGGAGGAACACCCGUGGCGAAGGCGGCUUCCUGGCCAUAUCCUGACGCUGAGGUGCGAAAGCUAGGGGAGCGAACGGGAUUAGAUACCCUGGUAGUCC